UACGAAGGGUGCAAACGUUGCUCGGAAUUAUUGGGCGUAAAGCGCACGUAGGCGGCAUUGCAAGUCGGAUGUGAAAUCUUAUGGCUUAACCAUAAAAGUGCAUCCGAAACUGCAGUGCUUGAGUACUUAAGAGGAUCGCGGAAUUCCCGGUGUAGAGGUGAAAUUCGUAGAUAUCGGGAGGAACACCAGUGGCGAAGGCGGCGAUCUGGGAAGAUACUGACGCUGAGGUGCGAAAGCUAGGGGAGCAAACGGG
rnacentral:rRNA from 1 species